UUUGAUCCUGGCUCAGAUUGAACGCUGGCGGCAGGCCUAACACAUGCAAGUCGAGCGGAUGACAGGAGCUUGCUCCUGAAUUCAGCGGCGGACGGGUGAGUAAUGCCUAGGAAUCUGCCUGGUAGUGGGGGACAACGUUUCGAAAGGCACGCUAAUACCGCAUACGUCCUACGGGAGAAAGCAGGGGACCUUCUGGUCCUUGCGCUAUCAGAUGAGCCUAGGUCGGAUUAGCUAGUUGGUGAGGUAAUGGCUCACCAAGGCGACGAUCCGUAACUGGUCUGAGAGGAUGAUCAGUCACACUGGAACUGAGACACGGUCCAGACUCCUACGGGAGGCAGCAGUGGGGAAUAUUGGAC
rnacentral:rRNA from 1 species